rnacentral:tRNA from 1 species
UACCAAAGGAUAAUAGUAUUCCACUGGUCUUAGGG